GGUAGUAACACGUGGGUAACCUACCUAUAAGACUGGGACAACUUCGGGAAACCGGAGCUAAUACCGGAUAAGAUAUCGAACCGCAUGGUUCGAUAGUGAAAGAUGGUUUUGCUAUCACUUAUAGAUGGACCCGCGCCGUAUUAGCUAGUUGGUGAGGUAACGGCUCACCAAGGCAACGAUACGUAGCCGACCUGAGAGGGUGAUCGGCCACACUGGAACUGAGACACGGUCCAGACUCCUACGGGAGGCAGCAGGA
rnacentral:rRNA from 1 species